rnacentral:lncRNA from 1 species
CAUUGUUACUAAUUAUCUCUAUUUGUGUUUGCUCACUUGGCUACUGCCUCCUCACCAACAUCAAUUCUUUGUUCCUUUCCACAUCUUGCACUUCCUAGUGGAAAAGAGAACGUUUUCUACAGUUUGCUGUUUCAAGAACAUUGAUUUUAAGAUUAAAAAUUCACGUGAUUGUGAUUUAACUUUCUUGGUUUUCUACUGCUCUUCUCAUCCAUGUACUUCCACCUCACCAGUCUCUUCUCUCUAAAGCCUCUUAGCUUCUUGUUUUGCUAUAGCUCACUGACUAUAAAUCAGCAUGCUUAUAUAGAUUGAACUUAAGGGUUCUCUUAAAACAUUUUAGUUUACAUUAACAAAUUACAAAUUUAUGUUAGCAAAAACCCACCACCGUUGUGGUACAGUAGAAAUGCCUGAAAAUGGCCUCCUUGUAAUGACUUACCUUAGACAUUUGCAAAUGCUGUAAUCAGUAGUAAUGAUGGCAUAGCAAAAUAGUAUUUGAUUAAUCACAUUAACAUCAAAAUAAAAUUUUGUGUAAAUAAAUUUUGGGUAAGUAAAAAUUAGACAUAGUAAAUGCUAAAUAAUUUUAUUAGGAAAAGGCAGUGGUAUAAUCAUGAAAUAUUAAUAUCAUGACAUAUGUGUUUUAACUUUGAGGAGAGAAAUGAGAUGCCUGAAUAAUGGCCAAGCAUCAGUCUUUAAAUAUGAGAUUGCGUGCUUGAAACAGAUAUGCUCUCCAUUUGUCACACAAUGUAGCUAUUGUAAUGUGAACAGUGUAGCAGUCAUUGAUGAUAGUUAUGUAACAUUCUGCAGAGAAAUUUUAACAGGAUCAAAAUUCUACAGAGCAGCACUAUCUAUGUUGUUUUACUGUUUUAUCUGAGCUUUCUGCAUGGAUUCACUCU